rnacentral:rRNA from 1 species
AUUGAACGCUGGCGGCAGGCCUAACACAUGCAAGUCGAGCGGAUGAAGGGAGCUUGCUCCUGGAUUCAGCGGCGGACGGGCGAGUAAUGCCUAGGAAUCUGCCUGGUAGUGGGGGAUAACGUCCGGAAACGGGCGCUAAUACCGCAUACGUCCUGAGGGAGAAAGUGGGGGAUCUUCGGACCUCACGCUAUCAGAUGAGCCUAGGUCGGAUUAGCUAGUUGGUGGGGUAAAGGCCUACCAAGGCGACGAUCCGUAACUGGUCUGAGAGGAUGAUCAGUCACACUGGAACGGAGACACGGUCCAGACUCCUACGGGAGGCAGCAGUGGGGAAUAUUGGACAAUGGGCAAAAGCCUGAUCCAGCCAUGCCGCGUGGGGGAAGAAGGUCUUCGGAUGGUAAAGCACGUGAAGUUGGGAGGAAAGGCAGUAAGUGAAUACCUUGCUGUAUUGACGUUACCAACAGAAUAAGCACCGGCUAACUUCGUG